AUUGAACGCUGGCGGCAGGCCUAAAACCUGAAAGUCGAACGAGUGGCGGACGGGUGAGUAAUGUCUGGGAAACAGCCUGAUGGAGGGGGAUAACUACUGGAACCGGUAGCUAAUACAGCAUACAAUCAGAUGUGACAAGAUGGGAUUAGCGUGUUGGUGGGGUAACGGCUCACCAAGGCGACGAUCCCUAGCUGGUCUGAGAGGAUGACCCGCCACCCUGGAACUGAGACACGGUCCAGACUCCUACGGGAGGCAGCAGUGGGGAAGAUUGCACAAUGGGCGCAAGCCUGAUGCAGCCAUGCCGCGUGUAUGAAGAAGGCCUUCGGGUUGUAAAGUACUUUCAGCGGGGAGGCGUUACCCGCAGAAGAAGCACCGGCUAACUCCGUGCCAGCAGCCGCGGUAAUAC
rnacentral:rRNA from 1 species